rnacentral:rRNA from 1 species
AUUGAACGCUGGCGGCAGGCCUAACACAUGCAAGUCGAGCGGAGCGGCGGACGGGUGAGUAAUGCCUAGGAAUCUGCCUGGUAGUGGGGGAUAACGUCCGGAAACGGGAGCUAAUACCGCAUACUAUCAGAUGAGCCUAGGUCGGAUUAGCUAGGUGGUGGGGUAAAGGCCUACCAAGGCGAUGAUCCGUAAAUGGUCUGAGAGGAUGAUCAGUCACACUGGAACUGCGACACGGUCCAGACUCCUACGGGAGGCAGCAGUGGGGAAUAUUGGACAAUGGGCGAAAGACUGAUCCAGCCAUGCCGCGUGUGUGAAGAAGGUCUUCGGAUUGGAAAGCUCUUUAAGUUGGGAGGCGUUACCCGCAGAAGAAGCACCGGCUAACUCCGUGCCAGCAGCCGCGGUAAUAC